GACGAACGCUGGCGGCGUGCUUAACACAUGCAAGUCGUACGGUAAGGCCCUUUCGGGGGUACACGAGUGGCGCACGGGUGAGUAACACGUGAGUAACCUGCCCACAACUUUGGGAUAACGCUAGGAAACUGGUGCUAAUACUGGAUAUGUGCUCCUGCUGCAUGGUGGGGGUCGGAAAGCUCCGGCGGUUGUGGAUGGACUCGCGGCCUAUCAGCUUGUUGGUGGGGUAGUGGCCUACCAAGGCGGCGACGGGUAGCCGGCCUGAGAGGGUGACCGGCCACAUUGGGACUGAGAUACGGCCCAGACUCCUACGGGAGGCAGCAGUGGGGAAUAUUGCACAAUGGGCGCAAGCCUGAUGCAGCAACGCCGCGUGCGGGAUGACGGCCUUCGGGUUGUAAACCGCUUUCAGCAGGGACGAAGCUUUUUGUGACGGUACCUGCAGAAGAAGCACCGGCUAACUACGUG
rnacentral:rRNA from 1 species